GUUCGUGUGUUGCAGUGGUUUCAGCAGACCUGUUUCCGGUUGUAAGACCGAACACCGCAGGAGGUCCUGGGUUCGACUCCCAGCUCGAACU